rnacentral:misc_RNA from 1 species
UCUCCGUUGGUGAACCAGCGGAGGGAUCAUUACCGAGUGCAAACUCAUAACCCUUUGUGAACCUAUAUCUGUUGCUUCGGCGGCUCGCUCUCGGGCGAGCCCGCCGGUAAUAUCAGUAUCUCUGUUUGAACCCGACGAUACUUCUGAGUGUUCUUAGCGAACAGUUAAAACUUUUAACAACGGAUCUCUUGGCUCUAGCUUCGUUGAAGAACGCAGC